CGAGCAUGGAUUAAUGAUCACCAACAUGAGGAGAUCAUAAGGAUGGAUAGCAUGUCUACGGGCUCAAGUAUGGAGGCUAACGGGUCAAAAGGAAGCAUGGAACCUAUGCUUGAACUUGGGCGCACAAGGUAGUACGAAUCACAGAUUUUCAUCACAAGGAGUAGCGAUCAAAGACCGAGUCACAAGUCAGAUUGUACGGGAAUACUUGACUAUGUAAAUUGAUAGUUAUAAGUUAUGCUUUUGUUAUGUAAAUGAGUAUAAAAGAUGCAUAUAAUGUAAGAAAGUGUCUCAUAAUGAACUUGCUAGUAGGUCAAAACGUUUUUAAUGAAAG